GAUGUACUCCCUCCGUCCCAAAAUUCUUGUCUUAGAUUUGUCUAGAUACGGGUGUAUUUAAUACUAAAAUGUGACUUGAUACAUCCAUAUUUAGACAAAUCUAAGACAAGAAUUAUGGGACAGAGGGAGUACUUG
rfam:Triticum aestivum genome assembly, contig: Triticum_aestivum_CS42_TGACv1_scaffold_146068_2BS